rnacentral:rRNA from 1 species
GACGGAGGAUGCAAGCGUUAUCCGGAAUGAUUGGGCGUAAAGCGUCCGCAGGUGGCCGUUCAAGUCUGCUGUCAAAGACCGGGGCUUAACUUCGGAAAGGCAGUGGAAACUGAAGCGCUAGAGUGCGGUAGGGGUAGAGGGAAUUCCCGGUGUAGCGGUGAAAUGCGUAGAGAUCGGGAAGAACAUCGGUGGCGAAAGCGCUCUACUGGACCGCAACUGACACUCAGGGACGAAAGCUAGGGGAGCGAAUGGG